CCCACCGCCUCGUGGCCGGUUUUCUGUCCGGCCGGUUCCUCCAAACGGUUUUCUUUUUGGUUCCCAGUUCCCAGAUCGUGGCCACGAUCUCACGACACGGUGUCCUGCAGGGAUCCUAAUCUUCCCCCUCGCUCCGCUCCGGUGCCGCGGUGCCGCCCUGCGCCUCCCGCUCCGGUGCCUCCCUGCGCUGCCCGCUCCCGGUGAUGCCGCUCCGAUCCUCCCAUCGCCGAUCCGGUGAAUGGUGCCUCCCGCACGCCAGCUACUGGCCAGGCCCUGCGCGUCCUCACAUUCAAGGCUUCCCCGCGUCAGAUCGGGAUUGUGGGUGGUGGUUUCUUCGAUUUCGUCGCCAGGAUGGAGUGCCCUUCGUUCGAUCGGCUACCUCAUGCGGGAUGGGGGCGAGGAUGCAAAGGCGACGGAGACCUGCAGCAGCUCAGCUUCCUCACGGUCUCCUCAAGCUUGCAAUUUCUUUGAAGGUUUUAUCCUCGGUAUGCAUAGUGCCAUUACCUCCCCUCCACUCGAUUCCCAUGGUUUUACUUUAUUUCCCACGGAUGUGUGGAUUUGUUUAGGUAGUAAGCUCUUAGUAAUCCCCAUGACCAAAAGUGACAUAGAUAUCUUCCUGAUUCGUCAUCGUAGGAUGGCCCACAGAGACUUGGCGCGGCGGCAGAGCAUUCCACAGCCACCCACCCGUCUGCUGGUGAGGUCCUCCCAGAUUGAAGAUUGGUGCUUCAAGCAGUCAAUUCUCUUGUUUCUGCUGCCGGCAUCAGUGGCUGCUACAUGACAUAGCCGACGGCUUUGUUUGGUGGGCAAGCUGACUUCCUCCCUAUGAUGUUGAUGAUACGGAUCAAGCGACGGCCAGUGCAUUAGUCUACUUAGAUGCCGGUGCCAAGUUGUUUUGUGCAAGAACAAGAACAACAACCUCGAACCCAUACUGGACAAAGCACGAGAGUUUACCUCUCACUUGCGUGCAUUGUGAGGACACAAGGAGCUGAUGGGCAAGCUGGUUCAUACCAGCUUUCAGCUUGAGCUCCAAUGUUGUCUCCAUGAACAUCAUGGAGACCAUUGCCAGAGUCUUUGUCGAGCCAUUGAUGUUCAUCAGUUGGGGGUAGGGGAGGUCCACACCAUAAUCUUUUGUGGCAUCUCCUCUAUCCAGCUUCUCAUGGACCAUGGCGAGCUUGGCCAUCGGAAUCAGAGGAUGGAUUCUGGUACGAGGUCAGUGCAUAUGAUGCCUAUCAAUCCGAGGAGAACAAGGUGGUUUAGGAGUCCCAGAUGACUGGGGCUAUCCGGAGGAUGGAGGAGGUUCUGCAGCAGGUAAUUCUGGUAUCCAAGUUGAUUGGGGAAACCGAAUUAGAAGCAAAACUUGAGGAGGCAGUCAGUAAGAUCAAGAGGCAUAUAGUAUCCACUGCAUCUUUGUAAUUGUAACAUGUAUUGACGGUGUCAUAAUUUCGUAAGAGCUCCCAAGAGCAUAGAGAAAUUAAGCCUCUCUUAGCUAUUUCGCUCCAAGUGUUGUUGGCCUGAUGGAGAUGUCUGGUGGAAACAUGGAACAGUGAUGUGGCAGGCAAAGUUUUGUUAGUGUUGUUAACCUUGUACGUAGGGAUGAAAACAAAUCGGAUACGGACGGAUAUCAAUGAUAUCUUAUUUGUUUU